rnacentral:rRNA from 1 species
GACGAACGCUGGCGGCGUGCUUAACACAUGCAAGUCGAACGAAGUGGCGAACGGGUGAGUAACGCGUAAUCAACCUGCCCUUCAGAGGGGGACAACAGUUGGAAACGACUGCUACUACCGCAUACUGAAGGAGGGGAUUGCGUCUGAUUAGCUAGUUGGAGGGGUAACGGCCCACCAAGGCGAUGAUCAGUAGCCUGUAUGAGAGGAUGAACGGACACAUUGGGACGGCGACACGGCCCAGACUCCUACGGGAGUGAGCAGUGCGGAAUCUGCGGCAAUGGACGAAAGUCUGACGGAGCAACGCCGCGUGAGUGAUGACGGCCGGCGGGUGGUAAAGCUCUGUUAAUCGGGACGCGGUACCGGAAUAGAAAGCCACGGCGAACUACGGGCCAGCAGCCGCGGUAAUAC